GACGGAGGAUGCAAGUGUUAUCCGGAAUCACUGGGCGUAAAGCGUCUGUAGGUGGUUCGAAAAGUCCACUGUUAAAAAUUGAAGCUUAACUUCAAAGAUGCCGUGGAAACUUUCAAACUAGAGUGUGGUAGGGGUAGAGGGAAUUUCCAGUGGAGCGGUGAAAUGCGUAGAUAUUGGAAAAGACCACCGAUGGCGAAGGCACUCUACUGGGCCAUUACUGACACUGAGAGACGAGAGCUAGGGGAGCAAAUGGG
rnacentral:rRNA from 1 species